CGAACCACGUGUGGGCCCAGCCGGCCCUCAGGAGGAGCUCCGCGGCUCCUCCCAUCUGACAACUCCCCCGACCUGCUGGGCACUGAAGCCUCUGCUGCGGGGGUUGCCGGUGCCACUUCCCCUCUCCACAGCCGUGCGGUGCCCAGCUUAGCUCACGUUCACAGUUCUUUCAGCAGAUGUAGCCGUGGACAGCAGCCUGGUUACAGUGGGAUGUGCAGCUGGCCGACCCCCUCUAGCCAUCCUGCAAGUCACUGUGAACGCCCUCACGCUCCAACAGCAAAGCCACUGCUCAGAAAGAGGCUGGGCUCCUGCACACCUGCCAGCGAUGGCUACCCGUGUCCAUCCUGUUCACUGAAGGGGAGCGGCUCCUGGAGGGUGAAGCCGCUGUGGUUUGAGGGUGAAGCCACUGUCGUUUGAGCCCUCGGCCCGGACGCAGCUGAUGCACCAGCCACAGAAGCACGGAGGAGUCAAGAAUGGGAAGGACAGAAACGGUUCCUGACCUCGGGAGCUGGAGGUUGAGUGGGAACCGCAGGUCGAAGGCCAGUACCGCAUCCAACACCGCCAUCUGCUGGUGAGCGGGAAACAUGACGCCUCGGGGCCAAAUGGGAAGAGCACGUUCAGGAUAUUGGAUUAGAGAAAUAUCAAACUACUUUAAAUUCCAUCACAGCUGUCAAAACCAAACUGGGGAUGUAAAGAAUUUUUCAGCUCAUUGUAUUCUAUUUACAUUGCGCACACACAAUAAAUG
rnacentral:lncRNA from 1 species